CCGAUUAGAUUUCUUUGGGGGAGUGUGAAGUUUGACGUUGAUUUUCUCUGUUAUUUGUGGACCAAUUUUAAUUUGCUUUACACCAAAAAAUAGUGCAAUCACUGAACUGUUUAAUGAUGUUUUUGUUUUUUUGUUAAGUUUUGUCGUUUUUCCGCAAUUGCUGUUUUUGUUAAGGUUUUCAUGGCCACCCAUCACAAAAAAUAAUAUAUUGCUCACCUUCAAACUCUAUUUUGUCCACUAUUUGCAAACCGACUUUAAUUUCCUUUACGCCAAAAAAUAGUGCAAUCAUUCUACUGUUUACUGAUGUUUUUGUUCUUUUGUUAAGUUUUGUCGUUUUUCCGCAAUUGCUGUUUUUGUUAAGGUUUUCGUGUCCACCCAUCACAAAAAAAUAACAUAUUGCUUAUCUUCAACCUAAAUUUUCUCCACUAUUUGCAAACUGAUUUUAAUUUGCUUUACACCAAAAAAUAGUGCAAUUAUUCUACUAUUUACUGAUGUUUUUGUUUUUUCAUUACAUUUUGUCGUUUUUGCGCAAUUGCCAUUUUUGUUAAGGUUUUCGUGUCCACCCAUCACAAAAAAAUAACGCAUUGCUUAUCUUCAACCUAAAUUUUCUCCACUAUUUGCAAACCGAUUUUAAUUUGCUUUACACCAAAAAAUAGUGCAAUUAUUCUACUGUUUACUGAUGUUUUUGUUUUUUUAUUACAUUUUGUCGUUUUUUCGCAAUUGCCAUUUUUGUUAAGGUUUUCGUGUCCACCCAUCACAAAAAAAUUACGUAAUGCUUAUCUUCAACCUAAAUUUUCUCCACUAUUUGCAAACCGAUUUUAAUUUGCUUUACACCAAAAAAUAGUGCAAUCAUUCUACUGUUUAAUGAUGUUUUUGUUAAGUUUUGUCAUUUUUCCGCAAUUGCCGUUUUUGUGAAGUGGAGAAAACUGAGAUUGAAGUUGAGGGAUGUUUCAAGAUUUUUCACUUUAGUAGCAGUGCCCCAACCACCUUGCUUGAUGAAAACUGUUAUUGCAGGAAAACGGGAAAAGAUAGGAAAAUAAUGAAACUACGGAUAAAAAGUAGAAAGAGAAAGCUAUUUUUUGGUGCAAGGUGAGCUACGUUAAGUUAAGGGAAAGUGGAGAAAAUUGAGGUUGAAUUUAAGGAAUGUUUUCAAUUUUUUUUCUUGGUGGGAGACCUGGGGAAAACUGAGAUUGUGGGAAAAUGGAAAGAGUUAAAGAGAAUCCGAAAGUACCAUUGGAAAGUAGAAAGGUUAAGCUAUUUUUUGGUAAAAGGUGAGUUAUGUUAAGUUAAGGGAAAGUGGAGAAAAUUGAGGUUGAAUUUAAGGAAUGUUUUCAUUUUUUUUCUUGGCGGGAGACCGAGUUGUGAACAUUGCCUGGGGAAAACGGAGAUUAUGGGAAAAUGGAAAGAGUUAAAGAGAAUCCGAAAGUACCAUUGGAAAGUAGAAAGGUUAAGCUAUUUUUUGGUGCAAGGUGAGCUAUGUUUAGUUAAGGGAAAGUGGAGAAAAUUGAGGUUAAAUUUGAGGAAUGUUUUCAAUUUUUUUUCUUGGUGGGAGACCGAGUCGUGAACAUUGCCUGGGGAAAACUGAGAUUGUGAAAAAACGGAAAGAGUUAAAGAGAAUCCGAAAGUACCAUUGGAAAGUAGAAAGGUUAAGCUAUUUUUUGGUGCAAGGUGAGCUACGUUAAGUUAAGGGAAAGUGGAGAAAAUUGAGUUUUAAUUUGAGGGAUGGUUUCAAUUUUUUUUCUUGGUGGGAGAAUGAGCCAUGCACCUAGCCUGGGAAAAAACCGAGAUUGUGGGAAAACGGAAAGGAGUAAAGAGAAAACAAAAGUAGCGUUAGAAAGUAGAAAGAUUAAGCUAUUUUUGAGUGUAAGGUGAGCUAGGUUAAGUUAAGGGAAAAUGGAGAAAAUUGAGGUUGAAUUUGAGGGAUGUUUUCAUUUUUUUUUCUUGGUGGGAGAGCGAGCCACGCCCCUUGCCUGAGAAAAUGGAGAUUGUGGAAAAACGGAAAGGAGUAAAGAGAAAACAAAAGUAGCGUUAGAAAGUAGAAAGAUUAAGCUAUUUUUGAGUGUAAGGUGAGCUAGGUUAAGUUAAGGGAAAAUGGAGAAAAUUGAGGUUGAAUUUGAGGGAUGUUUUCAUUUUUUUUUCUUGGUGGGAGAGCGAGCAAUGCCCCUUGCCUGAGAAAACGGAAAGGAGUAAAGAGAAAACAUAAGUAGCGUUAGAAAGUAGAAAGAUUAAGCUAUUUUUGAGUGUAAGGUGAGCUAGGUUAAGUUAAGGGAACAUGGAGAAAAUUGAGCUUGAAAUUGAGGGAUAGUUCCAAUUAUUUUCUUGGUGGGAGACCGAGCCAUGCACCUUGCCUGGGGAAAACGGAGAUUGUGGGAAAACGGAAAGGGGUAAAGAGAAUCCGAAACUAGCGUUGGAAAGUAGAAAGGUUAAGCUAUUUUUCAGUGUAAGGUGAGCUAGGUUAAUUUAUCAGAACAUGGAGAAAACAGAGGUUGAAUGUGAGAGAUGCUUUCGAACAUAUGGAUGGACGAACAAAGAUGGCUGGU